UUUCAUAUUAUGCUCUAUCGUCACACGAUAUGUCGUCAUAUCCCCCAGCCCUAGGUUGUGUAGAAUAGCAGAUCCAAAGUAGCCAAGGGAGGUGAUAGGUGGAAAUUGCAGAAAAGCAAUACUUUAAUGUAUUGCAGAUGAAGAAUUUCAGGAUACAUGGCUUGUCUUGAAAAACAGAUGGCUGUAGCAGUUUUUAACCUUCAUUUAACCAGAUGUCAGACAGAGACAGACAACAGUAUACAGACAGCUGUGGUGAUGGUGAUGUCCCUGCUGAAGUGUUUGUUGUUCUACUUCUCAUUCAAUGAGUUGACCACAGCAGCAGAAGCAAUUCUCUGGGUGAAGACAGGGGAGAAGUUUACCAUGAAGUGCUCCACCACUCUAAAAGACCAGGACGGAAUGUACCUGUAUGUUGGGCUGGACAGGGACAGGGAGGUGUUGUAUUACUACCAGCGUGGCUCCAAGCUGACCCCCAGGAAAGGCUACUGGGAGAGAGUGAAGACUGAGGGACCUGUGGACCAACUGACCAUCAUCGUCAGUAACCUGACCAUACAGGACACAGGUGUCUACCUGUGUAUUUACACAAAAUUCAAUGAAACCACGAAUGAAAAUGAAAUCAACCAAGGAAGAGGCUCCACUCUGGUCGUGGUGAAUGACGAUGACCCACAGCUGCCAUGUCCUACAGCUACUGCAGUAACGCUGACCCCCUUUCACCCAGCCAAUGAGAAGCCGUGCGCAUCUGGCGUGGUAAACAUCAUCAUCAUCAUCAUCACCACCACCAGCCUCUUGACCAUCCUACUGUGUGCCAUCUUCCUCAUCUGGCUCCCUCCACGGGUGAAGAGGUGCUGUAACCAGGGAGGAUCCACACCCCAGGUCUUUCCUGACUCGGUCUAUGUAGAAAUGGCCAGGAAUCACAAUUAUCAACCAGACACACAGCAGGUAGAAUCGUACCCCUACUCUGUGUCUACCAAAGGAGGAACUAGGACCACUGAGUAGCUUCUUCAAAUGCCUUUUCUGAAUAUUGCUUCUUUGCUUUCUCAGAAUUGAAAAGCCUGUUCUGCUGUAUUUCACAGUUCUAGCCUCAAUGCAAGUCUUUGUGGUAAAUUGUUUGUGUGUGUCGCACCAUACCAUGCUUGUGUGUGUGAAUAAAAUCUCUAUAUGGAAAGUAUAGGAGGGAACAGCCAAUGUUAUAUUCCAGGGCUAUUCAACUAUAUUCUUACGGGGGCCAGAUGUAAAAAAGGUUAAUUGCAGGGAGCCGGACAUUUUCCACAUGCGACGCACACACACACAAAUAAAGCACUUUUCUUCUAAUGAAAUGUUGCUAAAAGUAGUUAGGGAAGAAGUGGAAAGUGCUCGAUCAACGUGAGUUUAGGUGCAACCAAAAAAGUGCUCCUCAUUGAAAAGGAAAAGGCUCAAUGCUUGCUCACCAUUUUAACUAUUAAAAGAUUCUUAUAAGUAAUUUGGUGAUUUGAAAAUCAUCUGAAAACUAAGUAUCUCAAUAAAUAACAGACAACAACCAUAGUACUUUUCAUUUUGGCACUAAACUUCAGAUUUUGAUGCAGAUAUUUUAUGAAUGGUCAGAAUUGAUCAAAGGGCCAGUCUAAAUUACUGAAUGGGCCGGAUCUGGCCCGUGGGCCGCCAGUUGAAUAUCCCUGUUUUAGUCCAUAAGGUGUACAGUUGAUAGUGAUGGAGGCCUCUCUAUAACUUUUUUCAAUACAUCAGGUCAUAAGAUUUAUAUUCGUUUUAGUUCUGAACAAUAGUGUAGGCUGUGUUGUUCUCUAGUGUUUUUAGGUGAAAAGCUGUUCCUGUGCAUGGUGUCUGCC
rnacentral:lncRNA from 1 species